ensembl:piRNA 21ur-2389 ncRNA
UGGAUCAGGGGUACCCCAAUA